CCGCCCCCAGGAGCCGACGAGUGGCGGCGGCGGCGGCGGCAGCGGCCCCAGGACCGGGUUCCCUCAGACAAGAGGGCGGGCGGAGGAGGAAGCGG
rnacentral:miRNA from 1 species